UGCUCUUAGGACCAAUUUUAUUUUUAUUGCUUCUUUGCUUCUGUAUUCCCUGCUUGGUGCAAUGCUUGCAAAAUAUGGUGCACAAAACAAUGUCGCGCAUGAUGGGUCCCCGAGUGAUAGCUUUGAUGCGUGAAUACCAGCCUAUUGCCUUGGACGAGCCAGAAGGCUGUCCAAAAGAAGAGGAGGGAAUGAAGGAAGGGACGGUUUAGCUCUGUCACAAUAUAGAUUCCAAUAAAGAUUGCUUAAGCAGCUUUGGCUUUAGAUUCCAAUAAAGAUUGCUUAAGCAGGUUUGGCUUGUGACACUGGUCAAGUAAAGAAUAAGAGGAGCCACGUAGGCUCAAAAGACAGGGAAAUGGGUAAGGAACGUGCUUAACGUGAUUAUCCUCCUAAGGUGUACCUAUAGGUUGGCAAUUGGUGAUUGGUGGAAGGAAGGUGUACCUAUAGGUUGGCAAUUGCUGAUUGGUGGAGAAAUGUGUACCUACAGUAUAAGAAUGCCUGCCAAAUGCCAUGUAUUUACAGCCAGUGUAUUUUCAGGAGCUAUCCAACUGGUUGUCUCUGUGUACAAAAUGUCUUUGUACACAGAUUUCAAUAAACUCUUUUUCUCCAAAGAAGAUUUUGCUUUCCUGGUACUUUUGUUCCCUCCAAGGUCCGGGGAUGGCGUGGCUGAUGGAUCCCUAGGUAAAUAAGGCUUCAGUAUG